UGUUCCUCCGCUGGGCUCUUGGUAAUUCAGCUGCCAGUUGGAGCUUGUGGCAAAUUAGAGCUAACUGGUGGGAAGUGGCCAGUGCUCACACACACACAGCAUCUGUAGAAAGUCUCACACAGGAUCUUGGACACUGGGAAAUAAAAGCUACAAACGAGAAGGAGCCCGGGAGCCGUCUCACUCUAGAGCCUUUUCUCUCUGCUGAAGUCUAGGAUGGCCACUUGUGGGUCAUGUUUCUGGUGCAUUGUCUGGCUUGUGGUUCUGCUGUGCAUCGGCUGGCCCCUCAGCAUCGCCCUGGGCGGUCUCUAUGGCCUCAUUAGCCCGCUCACCACCUGCCUCGGCCUGGACCGCUUCUCCGACCUGCUCCUGGAGGGGGUAAACGUGGGCCGAACCUGUGCCAAUAACAUGAGGCACAGCAAGCCUUUGUGCUGAGACCUGUCCUGAGUGACCUGGAAGGAGACGACACGAGGGUCAAAGGGGAGAACGGUGCUUUUCUUCAGAGAAAACCUUUCACUUCAGGGGAGAACUGUUGAUAUUUUUUUUGCUGAGACAUCUGCGCUCAGUACAGUGAGAAAUUUAAAAGGCAUUUAUGUAACAACAAGGUUGAUUCUGAUUCUGAUUCUGAACAAGGUCUGAAAGAUGGAUUCCCCUUGUUCAGUUAACAUGUAAUUAACCGUGGAUUUCAAAUUUGUAUGGGUUUGUCAGGAAGGAAAUAGGCUUUGUGUUCAUCGUCUGUGUUUGCUGUGUCAUUCAUGAUGACCCUGCACGGAGACGAUAAGAAUGAAAAUGGGGCAAUUCAACAACAGAAAUGCUUAGACUUGUAAAUGAACUGUAUGGAAACUUAUAAUGCGAUUAAACCUGCUUUGAACUCGC